rnacentral:rRNA from 1 species
UACGUAGGGGGCAAGCGUUGUCCGGAAUUAUUGGGCGUAAAGCGCGUGUAGGCGGCUCGGUAAGUCUGCUGUGAAAGUCCAAGGCUCAACCUUGGAAAGCCGGUGGAUACUGUCGAGCUCGAGUCCGGAAGAGGCGAGUGGAAUUCCGGGUGUAGUGGUGAAAUGCGUAGAGAUCCGGAGGAACACCAGUGGCGAAGGCGACACGCUGGGCCGUACCUGACACUGAUGCGCGACAGCAUGGGGAGCAAACAGG